CACCCAGGACGGUGGAUCACUCGGCUCGUGGGUCGAUGAAGAACGCAGCAAAUUGCGCGUCGACAUGUGAACUGCAGGACACAUGAACAUCGACGUUUCGAACGCACAUUGCGGUCCAUGUAUUCCGUUCCCGGGCCACGUCUGGCUGAGGGUCG
rnacentral:rRNA from 1 species